AGGUGCAUUGCAGGGCAAUUACUCCUUUGGCAAUUGUUCACUUAACUAUUCAAGCGAGGAGGCAUAAGUGAACUCAUUGCCAAAGGAGAUUUGUCCUGCAAUUCAUAU
rfam:Lupinus angustifolius cultivar Tanjil chromosome LG16, whole genome shotgun sequence.